UACGUAGGGGGCAAGCGUUGCCCGGAUUCAUUGGGCGUAAAGAGCGUGUAGGCGGCCAGGUAGGUCGGUUGUGAAAACUGGAGGCUCAACCUUCAGAGGUCGACCGAAACCAUCUGGCUAGAGUCCGGGAGAGGAGAGUGGAAUUCCUGGUGUAGCGGUGAAAUGCGCAGAUAUCAGGAAGAACACCCGUGGCGAAAGCGGCUCUCUGGAACGGUACUGACGCUGAGACGCGAAAGCGUGGGGGGCGAACAGG
rnacentral:rRNA from 1 species